GACGUAGGGCGCGAGCGUUGUCCGGAUUUAUUGGGCGUAAAGAGCUCGUAGGUGGUUUGUCGCGUUGUUCGUGAAAACCUGAGGCUUAACCUUGGGCGUGCGGGCGAUACGGGCAGACUGGAGUACUGCAGGGGAGACUGGAAUUCCUGGUGUAGCGGUGGAAUGCGCAGAUAUCAGGAGGAACACCGGUGGCGAAGGCGGAUCUCUGGGCCUUACCUGACGCUCGAGGCGCGAAAGCUAGGGGAGCGAACAGG
rnacentral:rRNA from 1 species